UUGUGUACGGACGUGAUUUUUGUUGUUGCAAUAAAGUUUCUCUUUUUUGGUUAAAAUAAGUAAAGUUCACCGGGUGAAUUAAUUCAAACAAUUAAUAACCUUAUUUCAUUUACAAUAUUGAUUAUUAUUUUUGCUAAUUAUUGCUGAUUUUGAGUUAUAAAUUGAAAAAUUGAUUUGGAGAGAGAGAGAGAGGCGGUAAACUUGAGAGGUCCCUAGACAUCACCAGCAGAACCAAGACAGCAGCAACAGGAAAAUACUCAGCGCGUCUGGAGUUCGCAAGGACUCAGCGAUAAUUUAGUGACCAUUAUCGCUGCGAAGCCGCUAUUUCUGGUCAUUUUGGAGCUUUGGGUUUUGUUGGUAGGCCUCAGUGGACAACUUUGACCAGUGUGCUGCUGAGGGUAACCAAUGGUCACUUAAAUUUAGGAAUUUGGUCUGCGAUCUCAACCGAAGCCAAGUUCAGAAGAGCAACCACAUUGGGAUAUCCAUGCUCAAUAAAAUGUGCCUUAAUUAUUGCCUGUUGAGUCUUUGUUAUUGAGUUGGAGUUAUAGAGUGAAGUAUAGAACUGGUAAAAAUGGCGCUAAUGUUUUUAUAAUGGGGAGUACGGUCGAGAGCAUUCGACUCUGGUUGCUCGAAGCGAGCAGACGUGUCCAGAAAUGGCGCUACAGUUUAUGGCAUUGCGGAAAGCUACCGAUUCAGAUUAUUGUUACAGAAGUAUUAUUGAAAAACAGUGUAAGACGUUGCUUGAUAUUUUAUUCAUUAUUAAUCAGGUAUGAACGAAUUAUUAUAAUUAUUAAUAAUUAAUUGACGUUGAGCCCGAGGCUUGAGGUAUCAUACUACCGUUUUUAAUUAAAGGAAAGUUGUCAGAUCUGAAAGAAUUCUGAGAAUAUUGUUACAGUUUAGAGUCAUAUUCACGAUUUAUUGUUAAUAUUAUUUUAUAAAAAUAAUUAUAAGGAAUAUGUUCAGUUAUUAAAGUAAUUAUCACCUAAUUAACAUCAAUAUGAGACCCAUGCAUAUUAGUUUUACGAUUUUGUUUAUAAAGUUCUCUUUUAUUUUACACGUCCCACGGCGGAGUGUGGUUAGUGCUCAAUAGCUGUUAUGGCCCUCCGAUGGUAGAAAACUGAAAAUAAAAAUAAUAACAAACCAAAAAAUCCCACUUGGAGAUAUCCUGAAUCUCCCUGGACACUCAGCUCUGCUCAGGCUGGGUUAGCAAUCCUUGUUGGGCACCAGUUCGUGUGCCCUACGAACAAAAUUUAAAUUCAAAAUAAGAUAAAACGGAGGAAUGAAAAUGAAAAUGGAAUUAAAUGACAGGGUCGCAGUUUCAGAUUUUAGGAAGAGGAAAGCAAGAAAAAGAUAGCAGUAAUUUAAAUAAAUGAAAUGUAAAUUAAUACCGGGUUGAUGGCCAGUUGCUUUCACUUAUAUUUUAAAUAAUAAAUUUAAUAAUCAAUUGUAUCGCAUUACAAAAUAAACGGUAUCAAAGAUAAAAUAAUAAUAGUUCGCUUACGGAAAUAAAACUGGUAUGCGUAUACAAAUUAUAAAAAUAUAACAAUAAUGCUGAAAAAGAAUAAGUAUUACUAACGCAAGAUAAUUAACCACAUGUAAAUAAUAAUAUCACUCGCACGUGAAAAUAAGAAUGUCGAUAAAUAAUAAUAAUCGCAAAACAAUAAUUCAAUUGUUGUAAAUUAUCUGAUCACUCGCACGUGAUAUGUCACAAUAAACUAAAAAAACAUAAUAAUCUUCAAAUAUUUCCAGUAAAUAGUUUUAUAAAUUUUCCACUGGUGAAUAUUACGCAGUAUUCACAACAAUAGUAUUACCGGAAGAACAUAAUAGUAGGAACAAUAAUUAUUAGAAUCAAAAUAAUUAUAAAUUAUGUUUGCGAAUUCUUGUAUCACUCCUACGUGAUCAAUAAAAUAAUAGUAAACGCAGGUAAAUAAUAAUAAUAAUAAUAAUAAUAAUAAUAAUAAUAAUAAUAAUAAUAAUAAUAUAAAUUAAUAAUAAAUAAUAAUAAAGACCAUUCAAAAUAAACUGAUACUUGGUAAUUAUUAUCUUAUAUGAUUUUCAGUUAUCACAAAAUAAUUCACUAAUUCAUAAAGGACUAUUGAGAACCCAGUCGCAUAUGAUUUGUCACAACAAAAUUAAAUCCACUGUGUGAAAUAAAAAUAAAUAAUAACCAAAUAUUUUCCAAAAUCAAUAUUUGGUAUUAAUAAACAAUAGGAACUUAUUUUGAUUAAUACUCUAACAUCCACUGGGCUCAAUAAUCACUCAUGUCAUCAUAUGCUUGUAAAGUUUAUUAAUACUAGAUUCGAUAUCUCUCUUACGCUCGCAAGAUUUCAAAUGGCCACCAACGCUUGAAAGCAAAACUACACGCCAAUGAAUUAAUCAAAGGUACUUACAGUCAUC